GAUGAACGCUGGCGGCGUGCCUAAUACAUGCCAGUCGAGCGAACAGAUGAGGAGCUUGCUCCUCUGACGUUAGCGGCGGACGGGUGAGUAACACGUGGAUAACCUACCUAUAAGACUGGGAUAACUUCGGGAAACCGGAGCUAAUACCGGAUAAUAUAUUGAACCGCAUGGUUCAAUAGUGAAAGACGGUUUUGCUGUCACUUAUAGAUGGAUCCGCGCCGCAUUAGCUAGUUGGUAAGGUAACGGCUUACCAAGGCAACGAUGCGUAGCCGACCUGAGAGGGUGAUCGGCCACACUGGAACUGAGACACGGUCCAGACUCCUACGGGAGGCAGCAGUAGGGAAUUUUCCGCAAUGGGCGAAAGCCUGACGGAGCAACGCCGCGUGAGUGAUGAAGGUCUUCGGAUCGUAAAACUCUGUUAUUAGGGAAGAACAAAUGUGUAAGUAACUAUGCACGUCUUGACGGUACCUAAUCAGAAAGCCACGGCUAACUACGUG
rnacentral:rRNA from 1 species